rnacentral:rRNA from 1 species
CUACGGGUCGCUCCAGUGGGGAAUAUUGGACAAUGGGCGCAAGCCUGAUCCAGCAAUGCCGCGUGUGUGAAGAAGGCCUGAGGGUUGUAAAGCACUUUCGGGGGAGAGGAAAGGUUGUGCAUUAAAAGUGUAUAGCUGUGACGUUAUCCCCAUAAGAAGCACCGGCUAACUCUGUGCCAGCAGCCGCGGUAAUACAGAGGGUGCGAGCGUUAAUCGGAAUAACUGGGCGUAAAGGGCGCGUAGGUGGACUUGCAAGUCAUCGGUGAAAUCCCCGGGCUUAACCUGGGAACUGCCUUUGAAACUGUGAGCCUAGAGUACGAGAGAGGGAAGUGGAAUUUCCGGUGUAGCGGUGAAAUGCGUAGAUAUCGGAAGGAACACCCGUGGCGAAGGCGACUUUCUGGCUCGUAACUGACACUGAAGCGCGAAAGCGUGGGUAGCAAACAGGAUUAGAUACCCUAGUAGUC